rnacentral:rRNA from 1 species
GGUAAUACCGGCAGCUCAAGUGGUCGUCGCUUUUAUUGGGCCUAAAACGUCCGUAGCCUGUUUGGUAAAUCUGUGGGUAAAUCAACCAGCUUAACUGGUUGAAUUCUGCAGAGACUGCCAGACUAGGGACCGGGAGAGGUGUGGGGUACUCUAGGGGUAGGGGUAAAAUCCUGUCAUCCUUAGAGGACCACCAGUUGCGAAGGCGCCACACUGGAACGGAUCCGACGGUCAGGGACGAAGCCUAGGGGCACGAACCGGAUUAGAUACCCGGGUAGUCCUAGGUGUAAACGCUGUGAACUUGGUGUCGGGAGUCCGCAAUGGGCCCCCGGUGCCGGAGUGAAGAUGUUAAGUUCACUGCCUGGGGAGUACGGUCGCAAGGCUGAGGUAAUACCGGCAGCUCAAGUGGUCGUCGCUUUUAUUGGGCCUAAAACGUCCGUAGCCUGUUUGGUAAAUCUGUGGGUAAAUCAACCAGCUUAACUGGUUGAAUUCUGCAGAGACUGCCAGACUAGGGACCGGGAGAGGUGUGGGGUACUCUAGGGGUAGGGGUAAAAUCCUGUCAUCCUUAGAGGACCACCAGUUGCGAAGGCGCCACACUGGAACGGAUCCGACGGUCAGGGACGAAGCCUAGGGGCACGAACCGGAUUAGAUACCCGGGUAGUCCUAGGUGUAAACGCUGUGAACUUGGUGUCGGGAGUCCGCAAUGGGCCCCCGGUGCCGGAGUGAAGAUGUUAAGUUCACUGCCUGGGGAGUACGGUCGCAAGGCUGA